rnacentral:rRNA from 1 species
UACGUAGGGUGCAAGCGUUGUCCGGAAUUAUUGGGCGUAAAGAGCUCGUAGGCGGUUUGUCGCGUCUGCUGUGAAAACUCGGGGCUUAACUCCGGGCCUGCAGUGGGUACGGGCAGACUAGAGUGCGGUAGGGGAGACUGGAAUUCCUGGUGUAGCGGUGAAAUGCGUAGAUAUCGGGAGGAACACCUGAGGCGAAGGCGGGUUACUGGGCUGAUACUGACGCUGAUGCGCGAAAGCCAGGGGAGCAAACGGG